CCUGCCCAGUGACUCUGUUCAACGGCCGCGGUAUCCUAACCGUGCGAAGGUAGCGUAAUCACUUGUUCUUUAAAUGAGGACUAGUAUGAAUGGCACCACGAGGGUUACACUGUCUCCUUUUUCCAAUCAGUGAAACUAAUCUUCCCGUGAAGAAGCGGGAAUAAACAUAUAAGACGAGAAGACCCUAUGGAGCUUUAAACUCAAUAACACUUGCUUUAAGUACCAAUACUUCAGAGUAACAAACACUUAUUACGGCCUCCUGAUUAUUAGUUUUAGGUUGGGGUGACCGCGGAGCAAAAGACAACCUCCACAUUGAAUGGGGGAAUACCCCUGAGCCACGAGCUACAACUCUACGCACCAAUAAAUUGACAUCUAUUGACCCAAUAUAUUGAUCAACGAACCAAGUUACCCUAGGGAUAACAGCGCAAUCCGCCUCAAGAGCUCCUAUCGACAGGCGGGUUUACGACCUCGAUGUUGGAUCAGGGUAUCCCAGUGGUGCAGCCGCUACUAAAGGUUCGUUUGUUCAACGAUUAAAACCCU
rnacentral:rRNA from 1 species